CUUUCAAGAACUACAAAUAUGGGCAACAUGUUCGGAAGACGUAGACAAGACACCGUUUUCAACAGUUGACAUUUUUAAAGUGAUCAACAUUAACAUAAAGACAAUCUAAGUAUUCUUAUCAAUAUAUUAGAGUUUAGACCCCUUUGUUUAGAUUUUGUUAUGGCUGAAAAGGGGUAUUUCCUUUGUUGGCUGUGUGGAAACAAAAGUAUUUUAUUUUUGAUUAACCACACAAGACGCACAACAUCAAGCCAGCCGCACAAGCCUGACAAGUCAUCAAAAUCCCUUCAUGCCUGUGUCGCCUGACUCCACAACACUAAUGGAUGAAGACGUCUGGCAGCACUACAGAUUUGUGGUGCAGGGGAUGCAGGGCUCCCGAGAGCUUUCCUGGUCCGAGUACGUGUCCUCUUCGCACUCCUCGCACACCGUGUCAUGGUCAAACUCGCAGCUGUACAGCAUCCCCUGGCCCUCAGGACAUUUUGUGCAGUGCUCACACUGUUGAGAGAUUGUAUUCAAGUAGUAGCUGUAGUUGCAGACACAGGUGGCGUCGUUGGAGUCUGUGCAGGGCGACUUCAUGCGGAGCAGACCUGAGCACAUUGUGCACGGCUGACAUGUCUCUGUGUGACUCAAGCUUUCUGAGAAGGUUUCACCUGAAAGGAGAGGGAAGAAAACAGCCAUGAAAUGUUUUUAUCAGCCAGAAGUCUGACCUUUGUUUCAUCAGACAUCAUUUUGAAAGCAUGUACAAUACUUGAUAUGCACAAUACUUUGACAUGGUUGGUGUCACUCCAGUGUCCAGUGUGGAAUCUCUUUUUCAUUUUCAAUUUAGACAGAAGACUGUGUCAUUUUAAGUGUGUUGAAAAAUGUGAUAUUCAAAUGAUUGUGAUUGCAUAGAUGAAAAGCACAAUCCCAGUGCAAUAUGUUUGCAUUUGACUCCUUUUGACUUUAAAGUGUUCUUCCUUCUACCUGAUUACAGAUCUGGAAAUGAUUUGUCAUGCUUUUAUCUCAACAUCUUGGUAUUAAUAAAUAAUCCUUUAUCCACUAA